GCAAAGUAUUAAUUUACUGCCCUUCCUCCCAACUUAAAGUGCUUUACAAUCCGAAGACCUUCUUCACACACGCGGCAUGGCUGGAUCAGGCUUUCGCCCAUUGUCCAAUAUUCCCCACUGCUGCCUCCCGUAGGAGUCUGGACCGUGUCUCAGUUCCAGUGUGACUGAUCAUCCUCUCAGACCAGUUACGGAUCGUCGCCUUGGUGAGCCAUUACCUCACCAACUAGCUAAUCCGACCUAGGCUCAUCUGAUAGCGCAAGGCCCGAAGGUCCCCUGCUUUCUCCCGUAGGACGUAUGCGGUAUUAGCGUCCCUUUCGAGACGUUGUCCCCCACUACCAGGCAGAUUCCUAGGCAUUACUCACCCGUCCGCCGCUGAAUCAGAGAGCAAGCUCUCAUCAUCCGCUCGACUUGCAUGUGUUAGGCCUGCCGCCAGCGUUCAAU
rnacentral:rRNA from 1 species